rnacentral:misc_RNA from 1 species
UAACUGCGUGCAGACGUGUGAACUGCAGGACACAUGAACACCGACGUUUCGAACGCAAAUGGCGGUCUAAAGUAAAUUUUAGACCACGUCUGGCUGAGGGUCGGAUUUGAAAUAAAACCAAAGUUACUCAAACUUAUGGCUUACUAUGUAUAUUAAUAUGUAGCCUGUUUGUUUAAAGGUUUCAUCGCCGGGUUUUAAACAGCUCGGUUAGAUUUAUGAUAGCGCUUUGAACUAAAAGCUAACUUGAUAUGUAUAAUUUUUCAUAAUGAAAAAUAUAUUUGUAAGCAAUGUAGUUCACGCUAUUUAAUACAAAGAUUUUUUUCGAAAAAAUCUGUAUCAAACAUACGACCUCAGAGUAGGCGAGAUUACCCGCUAAAUUUAA